rnacentral:lncRNA from 1 species
CACAGUUGGUGAAACUUGGGCCGUCUGCCUCAAGUCCCCGCUUGGCAAAACCACUCCCUCCUGGUGGACGCCCUCACCAUGAAGAGUUAUAGUAAGGUGUUGGUGAGGCUGGCUGCUCUGGUUGCUAAGAGAGACCCGGCCUGCCACACUCCUAAGAGACACAGAAGACCAGCCUACCCUUCCCUUGCCUCCCGUGACACUGCCCUGCAGGUGGCUGGCCAAGAGAAGCCUGCCCGGCGACGCUGAGGCACCGAACAUGAGCAGGGGAGGAAGGAAUGCCUGGGAGCAGCUGAGCCGAGCCCCUGCCACCAGCCUCCUCCGCACGCCCGUGGAAUCAGCACUUUCUGCUUCCCGCCCCUGAGAGCCUUGCUCUGGGGCCACUCACAGCCAAUUAAGUGGGGAUGUUGUAAGAGACUCUAAAAUACGUGGAGCUGGCUGAGGACGCGGGACCGACCCCAUUAUGUGUGUGUGAGGCUGAUUAAAGUGUUACCUGUCACCAGGUGUCGCCAA